AAACUAACAAGGAUUCCCCUAGUAACUGCGAGUGAAGCGGGAAAAGCUCAAAUUUAAAAUCUGGCGGUCUUUGGCCGUCCGAGUUGUAGUCUGGAGAAGUGCUUUCCGCGCUGGACCGUGUAUAAGUCUCUUGGAACAGAGCGUCAUAGAGGGUGAGAAUCCCGUCUUUGACACGGACUACCAGUGCUUUGUGAUGCGCUCUCAAAGAGUCGAGUUGUUUGGGAAUGCAGCUCAAAAUGGGUGGUAAAUUCCAUCUAAAGCUAAAUAUUGGCGAGAGACCGAUAGCGAACAAGUACCGUGAGGGAAAGAUGAAAAGCACUUUGGAAAGAGAGUUAAACAGUACGUGAAAUUGCUGAAAGGGAAACACUUGAAGUCAGUCGCGUUGGCCGGAACUCAGCCUUGCUUUCGCUUGGUGCACUUUCUGGUUGACGGGCCAGCAUCGAUUUCGACCGGCGGAAAAGGGUUGGAGAAAUGUGGCACCCUCGGGUGUGUWAUAGUCUCUAGUCGCAUACGUCGGUUGGGAUCGAGGAUCGCAGCRCGCCGCAAGGCAGGGGUUCGCCCACUUUCGCGCUUAGGAUGCUGGCAUAAUGGCUUUAAAUGACCCGUCUUGAAACACGGACCAAGGAGUCCAACAUGCCUGCGAGUGUUUGGGUGGAAAACCCGAGCGCGUAAUGAAAGUGAAAGUUGAGACCUCUGUCGUGGAGGGCAUCGACGCCCGGACCUGACGUUCUCUGACGGAUCCGCGGUAGAGCAUGUAUGUUGGGACCCGAAAGAUGGUGAACUAUGCCUGAAUAGGGUGAAGCCAGAGGAAACUCUGGUGGAGGCUCGUAGCGAUUCUGACGUGCAAAUCGAUCGUCAAAUUUGGGUUUUGGGGCGAAAGACUNNUCGAUNNNNNNNNNNNNNNNNNNNNNNN
rnacentral:rRNA from 1 species